GCCGGGCGUGGUGGCGCAUGCCUGUAAUUCCAGUGGCUUGGGAGGCUGAGACAGGAGAAUUGGGAGUUCAAAGCCAGCCUCAGCCAACUGCGAAGCACUAAGCAACUCAGUGAGACUCUGUUUCUA
rnacentral:sRNA from 1 species